rnacentral:rRNA from 1 species
GAUCCUGGCUCAGGAUGAACGCUGGCGGCGUGCCUAACACAUGCAAGUCGAACGAAGUGCUUUUGAUGAAGCUUCGGCGGAUUUAAAAGUAUCUUAGUGGCGGACGGGUGAGUAACGCGUGGGUAACCUGCCUUAUACAGGGGGAUAACAGUCAGAAAUGACUGCUAAUACCGCAUAAGCGCACAGAGCUGCAUGGCUCAGUGCGAAAAGCCGAGACGGUAUAAGAUGGACCCCG